UUACAUAUUAUGUGAAUAGGUGCUCUGUAUCGUAAUCUCGCUCAGAGCUUAAAAGGGAAGUUCGGUGAAAAACCGAUGCGGUCCCGCCACUGUAACAGAGGAGUCAAAGCGUAAAUGCCACUGAUCGCAAGAUCGGGAAGGUGCUUGUCGACUAUGAAUCUGGAGCCAGGAGACCUGCCUAUUCGACAGACACUGC
rnacentral:ncRNA from 2 species